UACGUAGGGCGCAAGCGUUAUCCGGAAUUAUUGGGCGUAAAGAGCUCGUAGGCGGUUUGUCGCGUCUGCCGUGAAAGUCCGGGGCUCAACUCCGGAUCUGCGGUGGGUACGGGCAGACUAGAGUGAUGUAGGGGAGACUGGAAUUCCUGGUGUAGCGGUGAAAUGCGCCAGAUAUCAGGAGGAACACCGAUGGCGAAGGCAGGUCUCUGGGCAUUAACUGACGCUGAGGAGCGAAAGCAUGGGGAGCCGAACAGG
rnacentral:rRNA from 1 species